rfam:Pteropus alecto contig47549, whole genome shotgun sequence.
GUCUACGGCCACGCCACCCGGAGCAAGCCCGAUCCCGUCUGAUCUCAGAAGCUAAGCAGGGUCAGGCCUGGUUAGUACUUGGAUGGGAGACCACCUAGGAAGACCAGGUGCUGUAGGCG